rnacentral:rRNA from 1 species
CCUACGGGUGGCAGCAGUGGGGAAUAUUCCGCAAUGGGCGAAAGCCUGACGCAGCGACGCCGCGUGAGUGAUGAAGGUCUUCGGAUCGUAAACCUCUGUCAGCAGGGAAGAACGGUCACUGUGCUAAUCAGCAGUGAAUUGACGGUACCUGCAAAGUAAGCACCGGCUAACUCCGUGCCAGCAGCCGCGGUAAUACGGAGGGUGCGAGCGUUAAUCGGAAUUACUGGGCGUAAAGCGAUCGUAGGCGGUAUGUCAAGUCAAGGGUGAAAGCCCCGGGCUCAACGUGGGAACUGCCUUUGAAACUGGCAAACUGGAGUGUGGGAGAGGAUAGUGGAAUUCCAGGUGUAGGAGUGAAAUCCGUAGAUAUCUGGAGGAACAUCAGUGGCGAAGGCGACUAUCUGGCACAUAACUGACGCUGAGGAGCGAAAGCGUGGGUAGCAAACAGGAUUAGAUACCCUAGUAGUC